UCAGUGUUUUGGUUAUUGUAGCGAUUCUUGACAGUAACUCACAUAAGAGACGUCAAAUGUAUGUUCAAAAUAUUCAUGAACAGGAAUACAUUUAAGAAGAAGUAUAAUUCAAAAUAAACAAGUGAAUGACUUGUUCGACCGGUCGAAAUUUGAAGGUAAAUAAACUUCCUAUAGCUGGUGGAUUAUCAAGCUCAAACUGCGGAAAGGAAAUAUCCGGAACCAGUGGAAAUACAUCUCGAAAUAUCAGCAGCUCUUCACAUCAACAAUCACUUUUGGACGGGAUGGAAGGAAAGCAACGCAAAAUUAGAUUCAAGGUUAGUUAUGUAUCGUUUUAACUCGAAAACAGUAACCUUUUAAGGUGUUUCUUUUUCAGAUACCCGGUUUAAAGUUAACAGCAGAGAAUGCAACGAUGGAUUUACCAGAUGCCUCUGCUAACUUGUUCGGGAUCGUCUGCAACCUAGCCAUGACCGUACUAAGGAGGUACCAUGGGCUAAAUUUGGCUUCGUCGCCUGCAGAAACUAGGUGGGAUUCCUCGUAUGCUCAUUUUCCGACGACCUUUAGGCACGGGAGCAAAAAGGGUGAAAUGUUGAAUGCAAGAUUUAGUCUUUUUUGAUAAUUUUUUUUUCGUAUUUAA